AAAAGACCCCAUGGAGCUUCAAACCCAACUACACCCUUAACUACCACAACCGCACAACCUCUUAGGGCCCUGUAUAGUUGGUUUUAGGUUGGGGCGACCACGGAGUACAACCAAACCUCCGCAAUGGACGGGACCACUCCCUUAUCUAAGAGCCACACCUCUAAGAAUUAAAACACUAACAUAAAAUGAUCCAUGAUCUGAUCAAUGAACCAAGUUACCCUGGGGAUAACAGCGCAAUCCAUUUCAAGAGCCCUUAUCGACAAGUGGGUUUACGACCUCGAUGUUGGAUCAGGGUAUCCUAGUGGUGCAGCAGCUACUAAUGGUUCGUUUGUUCAACGAUUAAACCCU
rnacentral:rRNA from 1 species